GUAAAUAAUUAAGGGCGUAUGGUGGAUGCCUAGGCUCUCAGAGGCGAAGAAGGACGUGAUAAGCUGCGAAAAGCUCCGUUUAGGUGCAAAUAACCUUUGAUGCGGAGAUCUCCGAAUGGGAUAACCCAAUAUGUUGAAGACAUAUUAUACCGUAAGGUAGGCAAACGCAGGGAACUGAAACAUCUAAGUACCUGCAGGAGAAGAAAACAAACGUGAUUCCCCCAGUAGCGGCGAGCGACCGGGGAUAAGCCCAAACCGUUAUUGUUUCGGCAGUAGCGGGGUAGUAGGACUGCGACAUUGAUGAAAUAAAUGAAAUGGAACACUUUGGAAAAUGUGAUCACAGAGGGUGAUAAUCCCGUACAUGCAAGUUUAUGAAUCAUAGCAGUAUCCUGAGUAAGUCGGGACACGUGUAAUCCUGACCGAAUCCGCCGGGACCAUCCGGCAAGGCUAAAUACUCCUGAGAGACCGAUAGUGAACCAGUACCGUGAGGGAAAGGUGAAAAGCACUUCGAACAGAAGAGUGAAAUAGUCCCUGAACCCAUACGCCUACAAGCUGUCGGAGCCGCUUCGUGCGGUGACGGCGUGCCUUUUGCAUAAUGAGCCUACGAGUUACUCAUCACCAGCGAGGUUAAGUACUUCAGGUACGUAAGCCGAAGCGAAAGCGAGUCUGAAUAGGGCGUCAAGUUGGUGGUGGUAGACGCGAAACCUUAGUGAUCUACCCAUGGGCAGGGUGAAGGUUUGGUAACACAAACUGGAGGCCCGAACCGGUAAACGUUGAAAAGUUUUCGGAUGACCUGUGGGUAGGGGUGAAAGGCCAAUCAAACUGGGAAAUAGCUCGUACUCUCCGAAAUGCAUUUAGGUGCAGCCUCUGUUGUUUUGUUCUAGAGGUAGAGCUACUGAUUGGAUGCGAGGGCUUCACCGCCUAUCAAAUCCGGCCAAACUCCGAAUGCUAGAACAUGAAGACAGGGAGUGAGCCAGCGGGUGCUAAGGUCCGUUGACGAAAGAGGGAGAACUCAGACCAUCAGCUAAGGUCCCCAAUUGUAUGCUAAGUUGGAAUUAAAACGGGGUGGGACUGCUUAGACAGCUAGGAUGUUGGCUUGGAAGCAGCCAUUCAUUUAAAGAGUGCGUAACAGCUCACUAGUCGAGCGGUCCUGCAUGGAUAAUACGCGGGCAUAAGCAUAUAACCGAAGCUAUGGGAUUGUAGAUGAUACAAUCGGUAGGAGAGCAUUCCAUUCAGCAUAGAAGCAGUACCGUGAGGUAUUGUGGAGCGGAUGGAAAAGCAAAUGUAGGCAUAAGUAACGAUAAUGCGGGUGAGAACCCCGCACGCCGAAAGAUCAAGGAUUCCCCGGCAAUGUCAAUCAUCCGGGGGUAAGUCGGAUCCUAAGGGUAAGCCGAGUGGCGAUCCCGAUGGCAAACAGGUUAAUAUUCCUGUACUGAUCAUAACUGCGAUGCAGCGACGCAGAGGUGACACUGCUGCGUACUGACGGAAUAGUACGUUGAAACCCGUAUUCUUUGAUACCGGUAGUGAAGCACGCCGGUAGAGAUGAAAGGUGAUAGUACCGCAAUGCUUCGGUUGCGCGGAUAAUGCAGGUAAGCUGACUGCCAAGAAAACCUGCUAAGCUUCAGGUAAUGAUCAUCCGUACUGUAAACGGACACACGUGAUCAGGUAGAAAAUACUAAGGCGCUCGAGAGAUUCAUGGUUAAGGAACUAGGCAAAAUGGUCCUGUAACUUCGGGAUAAAGGACGCUCUUGUGAAAGAGCCGCAGAUAAUAGGCCCAGGCGACUGUUUACCAAAAACACAUGGCUAUGCUAAUUCGCAAGAAGAUGUAUAUGGCCUGACACCUGCCCGGUGCCGGAAGGUUAAGAGGAGAGCUCAGAGGCAACUCGAAGGUUUGAAUUGAAGCCCCGGUAAACGGCGGCCGUAACUAUAACGGUCCUAAGGUAGCGAAAUUCCUUGUCGGGUAAGUUCCGACCUGCACGAAUGG
rnacentral:rRNA from 1 species